rnacentral:rRNA from 1 species
GAUGAACGCUGGCGGCGUGCCUAAUACAUGCAAGUCGAGCGGAAACACUUCGGGUGUCGAGCGGCGGACGGGUGAGUAACGCGUGGAUACAUACCCCAGACUGAGGGAUAAGCACCGGAAACGGUGUCUAAUACCGCAUAUGGUCUUCGGAUUAAAGCUUCGGCGGUUUGGGAAUGGUCUGCGUCAGAUUAGCUAGUUGGUAAGGUAAUGGCUUACCAAGGCAAUGAUCUGUAGCUGGUUUGAGAGGAUGAUCAGCCACACUGGAACUGAGACACGGUCCAGACUCCUACGGGAGGCAGCAGUAGGGAAUCUUCCACAAUGGACGAAAGUCUGAUGGAGCAACGCCGCGUGCAGGAUGAAUGCCUUCGGGUUGUAAACUGCUUUUGUGAGUGAAGAAUAUGACGGUAACUCACGAAUAAGGAUCUGCUAACUACGUGCCAGCCGCCGCCGUAACAC